CGGGGGUGUCCGCGUUUCCCGGGUCACGUGACGGGGGUCCGGGCUCCACCAUGGCGGAAGCGGCGGCGCAGAGCAGGAAGAUUCAUUAUCUAGCGACCGGAAAAGUGACCCUAAAGGCACAGUUAGCUAAAAGUUGACGUUCAGCAAGGAAGCGGCGUCUACUGAAGAGUCCACAGAUGAAUCUGAGGCGGAUUGAUGGCUUUGACCUGAAGUUAGGAACGCCACCCUCAGGACUAGUAAUGGGCUAAAAAAAGACAAAGAGAGCUCCAACUUCGGACUGUUUAUAUACCGGUGGAAAAAAGUCUAAAUAAAUUAUGGACCG